AAGCGGUGGAUGAUGUGGUUUAAUUCGAUGCAACGCGAAAACCUUACCACCUUUGACAUGGCAGGAAUCCCGAAGAGAUUUGGGAGUGCUCGAAAGAGAACCUGCACACAGGUGCUGCAUGGCUGUCGUCAGCUCGUGUCGUGAGAUGUUGGGUUAAGUCCCGCAACGAGCGCAACCCUUGCCAUUAGUUGCUACGAAAGGGCACUCUAAUGGGACUGCCGGUGACAAACCGGAGGAAGGUGGGGAUGACGUCAAGUCCUCAUGGCCCUUAUGGGUAGGGCUUCACACGUCAUACAAUGGUCGGUACAGAGGGUUGCCAACCCGCGAGGGGGAGCUAAUCCCACAAAGCCGAUCGUAGUCCGGAUCGCAGUCUGCAACUCGACUGCGUGAAGUCGGAAUCGCUAGUAAUCGUGGAUCAGCAUGUCACGGUGAAUACGUUCCCGGGUCUU
rnacentral:rRNA from 1 species